UACGUAGGGUGCGAGCGUUGCCCGGAUUUAUUGGGCGUAAAGGGCGCGUAGGCGGCUCGGCACGUCCGUUGUGAAAUCGCCCGGCUCAACUGGGCGGGGUCAGCGGAUACGGUCGAGCUUGAGCAAGCUAGGGGGUAAUGGAAUUCCCGGUGUAGUGGUGGAAUGCGUAGAUAUCGGGAGGAACACCGAUGGCGAAGGCAGGUCUCUGGGCCGAUACUGACGCUGAGGAGCGAAAGCGUGGGGAGCGAACAGG
rnacentral:rRNA from 1 species